rnacentral:rRNA from 1 species
UACGUAGGGGGCAAGCGUUGUCCGGAAUCAUUGGGCGUAAAGCGCGUGUAGGCGGCUCGGUAAGUCCGCUGUGAAAGUCGGGGGCUCAACCCUCGAAAGCCGGUGGAUACUGUCGGACUAGAGUGCGGAAGAGGCGAGUGGAAUUCCUGGUGUAGCGGUGAAAUGCGCAGAUAUCAGGAGGAACACCAAUUGCGAAGGCAGCUCGCUGGGACGUUACUGACGCUGAGACGCGAAAGCGUGGGGAGCAAACAGG